rnacentral:rRNA from 1 species
UACGUAGGGUGCAAGCGUUAUCCGGAAUUAUUGGGCGUAAAGAGCUCGUAGGCGGUUUGUCGCGUCUGCUGUGAAAACCGGAGGCUCAACCUCCGGCCUGCAGUGGGUACGGGCAAACUAGAGUGCGGUAGGGGAGAUUGGAAUUCCUGGUGUAGCGGUGGAAUGCGCAGAUAUCAGGAGGAACACCGAUGGCGAAGGCAGGUCUCUGGGCCGUACUGACGCUGAGGAGCGAAAGCGUGGGGAGCGAACAGG